AUGAGACGAGGCCUCUGAGCCAGUGAUAGGUGGAUUCAUUAACAUGAGACGAGGCCUCUGAGCUAGUGAUAGGUGGAUUCAUGACCAUAUGAGACAAGGCCUCUGAGCCAGUGAUAGGUGGAUUCAUUAACAUGAGACGAGGCCUCUGAGCCAGUGAUAGGUGGAUUCAUUAACAUGAGACGAGGCCUCUGAGCUAGUGAUAGGUGGAUUCAUUAACAUGAGACAAGGCCUCUGAGCUAGUGAUAGGUGGAUUCAUUAACAUGAGACAAGGCCUCUGAGCCAGUGAUAGGUGGAUUCAUUAACAUGAGACAAGGCCUCUGAGCUAGUGAUAGGUGGAUUCAUUAACAUGAGACAAGGCCUCUGAGCCAGUGAUAGGUGGAUUCAUGACCAUAUGAGACAAGGCCUCUGAGCCAGUGAUAGGUGGAUUCAUUAACAUGAGACAAGGCCUCUGAGCCAGUGAUAGGUGGAUUCAUUAACAUGAGACAAGGCCUCUGAGCCAGUGAUAGGUGGAUUCAUUAACAUGAGACAAGGCCUCUGAGCCAGUGAUAGGUGGAUUCAUUAACAUGAGACAAGGCCUCUGAGCCAGUGAUAGGUGGAUUCAUUAACAUGAGACAAGGCCUCUGAGCCAGUGAUAGGUGGAUUCAUUAACAUGAGACAAGGCCUCUGAGCUAGUGAUAGGUGGAUUCAUUAACAUGAGACAAGGCCUCUGAGCCAGUGAUAGGUGGAUUCAUUAACAUGAGACAAGGCCUCUGAGCUAGUGAUAGGUGGAUUCAUUAACAUGAGACAAGGCCUCUGAGCUAGUGAUAGGUGGAUUCAUUACCAUGAGACAAGGCCUCUGAGCUAUAGGUGGAUUCAUGACCAUGAGACAAGGCCUCUGAGCCAGUGAU